rnacentral:piRNA from 1 species
UACAAGAAACGGGGUACACCUGGGAGG